rnacentral:tRNA from 1 species
GCUCAGGUGGUGAAAUUGGCAGACACGCAAGAUUCAGGUUCUUGUGCCGAAAGGUGUGCGGGUUCAAGUCCCGCCCUGAGCACCA